GGCCCAUGCACUUAUUGACAAUGGUAUAUAAUGACUAGGAACACCUAAACAAUGAAUUCAAAAGACAAAAUUGCUAGUGCCAUGAGAAUGUUGGAAAUCUGAGCAAUUUACCAAAGGAUUUUAUUAAAAGAAAAGCUAGGAAAAACAUAAUCAUCAUAACUAAGACGGAAGAAGGCAUGCUAUAUACAGAUGAAAAUACAAAAGACA
rnacentral:lncRNA from 1 species